CCUGUGCAUCGCUCCAUCGUCCCAGGUCUAUGGCCUGGGGAGGAAAGUCCGGGCAGCAUAGGGCACCAUGCUUCCUAACGGGAAGGAGCGCGUUCGGGAACGGACGUGCUACGGAAAGUGCCACAGAAAGGGAGACCGCCACAGGACCGCAAGGUCCGAGGCCUGAACUUGGCAAGGCCCGCCUUCGCCAAGGCUUCGGCGUGGCAAGGAUGAAAAGGUGAGGUAAGAGCUCACCAGUGCCCCGUGUGAGCGGGGCAGCUUGGUAAACCCCACGGGCUGAAAGACCAUGUAUACCGGGGUUCCGUCGCAAGGCGGAUAAGGACGGCCCGUCCGAUCCCGGAGGGUAGGUCGAUAGAGGCGGCGUGCGAGCGACGUCCCAGAUAGAUGAUGGAGGUCCUUCGCAAGAGGGACACAGGACCCGGCUUAUAGAUGCACAGGCUUU
rnacentral:RNase_P_RNA from 1 species